rnacentral:rRNA from 1 species
GACGAACCGUGCAAACGUUGUUCGGAAUCACUGGGCUUAAAGGGCGCGUAGGCGGGCUCGCCAGUCAGGGGUGAAAGCCCACGGCUUAACCGUGGAAGUGCCUCUGAUACUGCGGGUCUCGAGGCCGGUAGGGGGACGCGGAAUUCCCGGUGUAGUGGUGGAAUGCGUAGAUAUCGGGAGGAACACCAGUGGCGCAGGCGGCGUCCUGGACCGGCACUGACGCUGAGGAGCGAAAGCCAGGGGAGCAAACGGG